UCAUGUUGUUGUCAUUCUAUAAUGUUUGAAACUUACAUGGCUUUUAAUUUUUUCAUCAGUGUUAUCCUCAUUCCGCACCUUUAUCAUUCAACAACAAUAUUUUCAUAUAUAUCCUCAAAUGGAUGAAGUACCAAAUCGUGCUACCAUAUUUGCGGUAAUUGUUUCUAUCCCUUUAAAUUUCAUAUAUAUAUGCAUGUAAUUUAAUUUUGAUUUUAUUUGUCCCUGAAUUUUAUACCAUUUUUAUUUGAAUUGAGAAAUAUAUGUCAAAUUAUUGUGCUUUAUUGUUGUUAACAUUUCCAUUUUGUUGAGCAAAAAACAUGAACAAUUUUGCUCCAUUAGGAGAUAUGGUAUAAAAUCAACAAUAAAAUAAAAUGGAUCAUGUACAUUUGAGAAUAAUUUUGCUCCGUUUGUAAAUUUUUGCAUGCCUGAAAAAAC
rnacentral:lncRNA from 1 species